UGGGGAAUUUUGCACAAUGGGGGAAACCCUGAUGCAGCGACGCCGCGUGAUUUAGAAGGCCUUCGGGUUGUAAAAAUCUUUUCUAUGGGAAGAAAAUGACAGUACCAUAGGAAUAAGAACCGGCUAAUUACGUGCCAGCAGCCGCGGUAAUACGUAAGGUCCGAGCGUUGUCCGGAAUCAUUGGGCGUAAAGGGUACGUAGGCGGGUAAGCAAGUUAGAAGUGAAAUCCUAUAGCUCAACUAUAGUAAGCUUUUAAAACUGCUCAUCUUGAGGUAUGGAAGGGAAAGUGGAAUUCCUAGUGUAGCGGUGAAAUGCGCAGAUAUUAGGAGGAAUACCGGUGGCGAAGGCGACUUUCUGGCCAUAACCUGACGCUGAGGUACGAAAGCGUGGGUAGCAAACAGG
rnacentral:rRNA from 2 species